UUUGAGAAAGAAAAGCAAAGUAGGAGGGAUCACAAUACCUGAUAUCAAACUUUAUUACAAGGUCACUGUGAUCAUAACAGCCUGGUACUGGCAUAACAACAGACACAUACACCAAUAGAACAGAACAGAGAACCCAGAAAUAAACCCAAGUCUCUAUGGUCAAUUAUUUGACAAAGGGGAAAGAAGCAUAAAAUGGAAUAAAAA